rnacentral:rRNA from 1 species
AUUGAACGCUGGCGGCAGGCCUAACACAUGCAAGUCGAGCGGAUGAAGGGAGCUUGCUCCUGGAUUCAGCGGCGGACGGGUGUGUAAUGCCUAGGGAUCUGCCUGGUAGUGGGGGAUAACGUCCGGAAACGGGCGCUAAUACCGCAUACGUCCUGAGGGAGAAAGUGGGGGAUCUUCGGACCUCACGCUAUCAGAUGAGCCUAGGUCGGAUUAGCUAGUUGGUGGGGUAAAGGCCUACCAAGGCGACGAUCCGUAACUGGUCUGAGAGGAUGAUCAGUCACACUGGAACUGAGACACGGUCCAGACUCCUACGGGAGGCAGCAGUGGGGAAUAUUGGACAAAGGGCGAAAGCCUGAUCCAGCCAUGCCGCGUGUGUGAAGAAGGUCUUCGGAUUGUAAAGCACUUUAAGUUGGGAGGAAGGGCAGUAAGUUAAUACCUUGCUGUUUUGACGUUACCAACAGAAUAAGCACCGGCUAACUUCGUG